rnacentral:rRNA from 1 species
GAUGAACGCUGACAGAAUGCUUAACACAUGCAAGUCUUUGGCGAAGCUGUGCUUGCACAGCCUAGCCAAGGCGGACGGGUGAGUAACGCGUAAGGAACUUGCCCUGCAGUCAGGGAUAACAGACGGAAACGACUGAUAAGACCUGGUAAAGUCAGGCGGACUCAUGUCCAGCCUGAUGAAAAGAGAUGCUGCAGGAGAGCCUUGCGUCCUAUUAGCUUGUUGGUGGGGUAACGGCCCACCAAGGCGAUGAUAGGUAGCCGGCCUGAGAGGGUGGACGGCCACAAGGGGACUGAGAUACGGCCCUUACUCCUACGGGAGGCAGCAGUGGGGAAUAUUGGACAAUGGGGGCAACCCUGAUCCAGCAAUUCUGUGUGAACGAUGAAGGUUUUCGGAUUGUAAAGUGCUUUCAGCAGGGAAGAAAAAAUGACGGUACCUGCAGAAGAAGCGACGGCUAAAUACGUG